AUUGAACGCUGGCGGCAGGCCUAACACAUGCAAGUCGAACGAGUGGCGGACGGGUGAGUAAUGUCUGGGAAACUGCCUGAUGGAGGGGGAUAACUACUGGAAACGGUAGCUAAUACCGCAAACCAGCAGAUGUGCCCAGAUGGGGUGAGGUAGUUGGUAGGGUAACGGCUCACCAAGGCGAAGGGCCCUAGCGGAUCUGAGAGGGUGACCGGCCACACUGGAACUGAGACACGGUCCCGACUCCUACGGGAGGCAGCAGUGGGGAAUCUUGCACAAUGGGCGAAAGCCUGAUGCAGCAAUGCCGCGUGUGUGAAGAAGGCCUUCGGGUUGUAAAGUACUUUCAGCGGGGAGGCGUUACCCGCACAGGAAGCACCGGCUAACUACGUGCCAGCAGCCGCGGUAAUAC
rnacentral:rRNA from 1 species